UUGGUGCUUCGGAGCCGGUGUUGAGCCAAAAACUGAUUGUCUGCCCAAAACUGAUUUCCGGUAUUUGCCAAAAACUGAUUGCUCGUAUUUAAACUGCUAUAAGUAACUUGUUGGGCUAUAAUAUGUGAAAUAUAUGUCAAAUGCAUCCCUUAUGGAUGACAUAAAAAUCAUCUUGAGCCACAAACAACAUUCGUGUAACAAGGUAGAAGCCGCUGUUGUGCCACAACACCGGAACCUAACACAUCGCAUCCACCGCGAGGAGAGGGAGAGGACGCCACCGCAACGUCUGGGAUGAUUGACGGAAAGCCCUGGUGCCUUGAUGCUUGUCACCAGGCCGUAAAGUUUGCGUCUGAACUCCCCUCGGGAUGGAUGGCGAUUGACGGGAUACAGAAACUCUUCCCAUGAACGGAAACAACACGAACAAUGUCGUGAGGUGCCAUGACGAGAAGGAGUGACUGAGAGGAUCGUCCACAAGAUGGAAGCUGAGGCCAGGAGAGAGGCUUCAGGAGUAUUGGAGAUCACCUUCGGCACAGAGAGCUGUGCUACUGGGCUUCCAGGAGAUCGUCAUGAGGAGACUCUGCACAGCAAAAUCUUAAAUGAGAUAAAAGAGUUUCGACGUUGAGGAAGACAACUAAGGUGUACGACGUGCUCUGCCUUUAAAAUCUUCAGCAACAUUGAAUCAUGAGAACUUGAGGGAGCGUGCCAAGCUCCAAAAAGUGACAGUGCAGAGGAGGUCCAGCGAUAGACUUGUGGUUCUGUGAACAGCACAAAUGCCAGGUGACUGUGAAAUAACUAACAGCACUUUUUUCCACAAGUGAAGCCAGUAACUUACUAUCCUAACAGAUUAGCUCUAGUUGCUUGUGCUUUACCUCCAUGCGUGAGAUCAGUAUGUGCAGCAGCUUAAGCUGUACAAUGUUUCUGGAUAUAGUUUUUCACCUUUUUGACACUGUUAGUUCCACACGAGGUAGAGGUCUUCUACUGCAGACUAAAAUUACAUUUCUGUCACCUACAAGACACUUGUCUUUAAUGUUACUGUUACUCUCAUAACCAUACAUAACCAUAAAGUGGUGCUGUCAGGGGAAAAUUCCCAAAUAGAAAGCUGCCAAAGUAAAACAGAGACACAGUGAGACAAUAUAAAAAAUCAUAUGUACAAUGGGUGAACUCUCAGGAGAGUCACACAGUGCUCUUCUUUAUUGUAGGUUACACAGCAGACGGAGGCAGUCUCCGCCUAUUCUCAGAAUAUAUUGCUUAACUGACAAAUGCAUAUCUUACUAAACAUUCUGUCCGUACUAUACUAAACGUCUGCUUAAUGUAGUGAAGUAGAUUUUGGGUUAGGAUGUUACAUGAUGUCCCUAAACGCACCACUGACAUCCACACCUUUCAGCCGACAAUUACCUGGCUAUAAGAAACAGCUGCGCUUCACUACUGAGAGAAGGCAUUUGGCAGUCUUGGCAAUCUAAGGUGGCUGCAGCACUAGGCAGUUGAGCUCCACAUAUCUCUUAAGGAAAGCUACUCAGUUGCCCUUAGAGAGUGGUGUGCAUUAGACUGCUGCUGUCUUGCCAGAUGCUGUUUUGUUUGUUAUGCACUACUUUUAUAACGUAUAGUGAUUUGGGAUGUGGUUUUAUGUAGAUCUUUUAUUGAUUGUUUAACGUUUUAUCUUUUCUUUUAUUGUUUUAGUGGAGGUGCGGCCGCUUGUUCAGAGGCUAGGCACAUGAGGUGGAAUCCCCUCCCCGAUGCAUGCGAGUGUACACACCGGGCAUAGGCAGAUUGCACCAUUUAGAGUUUAGUGUGAGUGAGGUUUGCUGUGAAAUCACACGGGUGAGUAAUUGGUGGCACCCUUGGGCACUCCUCCCUGUAGGUUGCCUCCUCAAGUGGCCGGUCUCCACCAUUUUGUCUAGUUGCCUCUUUUAACAUAUUGUGCUUGUUUUAGUGUAGCAUUGUGGUAGGGAGUAUGUCGUUUUAAUCAUUGUUCGGUAAUAAAGUGUUUUAAUUAUUUUACUCUCUUACCCCUGCUACCCUAGGUGCCUUUUUAAUCUUUUAGUUAUGUUUUAGUAGUUCCUCUAAAUAAACUUUUGAAUUAUAAACUUUCUUUGUCUCACCUCUGCCUUUAAAUAACGAGUCUGUGGGCUUUGGUAGCCAGUGCAAUCUUCUCAUUGGCUAGAGAAAUCUUUCCUGGGGUUGUAGCGCCCUCCCCCAGGUGGCGUUGUCACUACUUUAGUAACCGUCCCCGGUUAUCUCAUUUUCGCGACACCACAUUAAGUGGCAUUUUCCGUUGUUCUUUGCACAGGAACUUGUCUUCACAGGCAUUUGAUAAGCAUAGGCAAGGUUUCAUGUUUUAUCAGGGUGAAUCGUCAUUCAGAGUUUACACAAUCACAAGCAAAGCAUAUUUGAAUAAUAAACAAAAUCUUUUCACAGGUGCACAAUUCUGAAUCUGUCAAACCUUUUGCCAACGAAAGAAGAGGGCACUCCUCAUGAGUGUAGAGACCACGUAGAGAAGGAGUGUAAGCCAAGGGAUGACUUACUAGAUGUGCCACUUGGUGAGGGAAAGGUUUGGUUUGUUGAUGGUUUGAGUUUUACAACAGUAGAGGGACAGACUAAAACAGGUUUUACUGUAGUAGAUAGUGAGAAAGUUAUCUGUGCAGGACAACUAGCAUGUUUCAUAUUUGCUUGAGCAGCAGAGAUGCUAGCUUUAACGGAAGCAUGUAAAGCUGCAGAGAAAUAAGAUGUGACAAUAUACACUGAUAGCCAGUAUGCAUUUGCUACGUUACAUUUCUUUGUGGUGCAGUGGGUGAGACGAGGUGUGACAGCCUCUACAGGGAAACCUGUAGAACACGCCAAACUCUGCAAAAUCUGCUGGAGGCAGAGUUUUUACCCAGUAGGAUUGCCGUUUGUAAAUGUGUAGCACACAUGUGACGGCAAGAUCCAGUUGCAUUAGAGAAUGCUUUUGCAGAUAAGAUCGCGAAAGAGGCAACUUUAGGAGAACAUGGUGUUAACGUUUUAGCAGUGCAACGCCAGCAGACGUUGGCUAUUAUGCGUGAUGCACUGGUAGACAUGCAGGGCCACUCAUCUACUGCAGGGAAACAGUUGUGAUUUACAGUAGGAGCGAGCCUGUAGGAUGGUGUUUGUUAUCUGUGUGAUAAACCAAUACUGCCUUAGAAUUUGUAUAAGACUGCUGCUAUUUUGCGCCAUGGGCUUUGCCAUGUCGCAACAGGAGGGAGAUAAUGAGUAGUUUAUACUUUACAAUUAAAUACCCUUAAAAAAAUAAAUAAAUUUUUGCAGGUCAUGUAUGAUAUGUUCAAGCACAAUUCUCGGCGUAAUUUGAGAUCUAAGAGAGGGAAAUUCCCCAGACCCAGUCACCCAUUUCAAGUUAUUCACAUGGACUAUAGAGCUGUCCAGCUGUAAUAACUAUGAGUAUUGUUUAGCGAUGAUGGUUCACAUUUUGUAAAUGAAGUGAUUGGAUUAAUGGCACAACAUCUAGGGAUAACACUAAAAACGUCAUUGUUCAUAUCACCCACAAAGUGCAGGGUUGGUAGAGAGAACUAAUGGAAUAGUAAUGUUAAGACUUAGGAAGAGACACGCAGGACAUGGUUAAACUGUAUAGAAUUAGUUAAGAUGUACAUGAGGAUUACUCCAACAGAGAAUGGUUUGACUCGUUGAGAUUAUAUAUGUUAGAGUAUUUAGAGUUCUAGUCUUCUGUAGUGAUGAUAGGAGAGCAGAAGAGAGAGCAUAUUAGCAGAUUAGAUGCUUAAAAUGUUUAAAAGUAAAGAAGUCUUGAGAACAAAUGAUCUGCCAGAUGAUUCUGUUUCUCCGCAGGAGCAGAGUCUGAAGUCUGGAGAUUGGAUGUUGACAAGGCCAUGGAGAGGAAGUGCUGGUCCAGUCCACGGUGGGAAGGUCCAUAUCGGAUGCUGCUGACGACGACCACAGCGGUGAAGUUGCUGGAAGGAACGCUUGGAUACAUCAAGCGCACUGCAAGAAGGUGACACACAUCCAGGCCAGCUCGGGGUAAGUGGCAGGAAGACCGGGUACAAAGGGGGGGGAAAGCCUCCAGGGCCCCUCGUCUCAAUCCGGUGAAGAAACCAACUGAGCCACAGGUACUCAUCAGAAUGGCUGGGAAUGUGCUGUGCGCCUUCUUGUGCCUGUUAACUCUGAGUGGGAUGACAGGAGCGCACUGGGACAGAGCAAACCACACCCAGUACCCGCAUGGGGUUUUCAACAACUACUGGUGGCAGUUUGUGAACACAACCGCUCACAUAAAGAACAAGACCAAUGGUUAUGCUUGUGAUGCCACUGUCUACACAUUCUUCUGGACUGUGGCCAUAUAGCAUCACUGAGAGUGAGACAGUUUGUUGGUUGCCGUAGCGACACAUCCAGGAGUAAACGUUCUUGGAACACUGCCAACUUUUCAACUUCUGAACCUGACUGGACGGUUGAUUCACCAGUAGCUGGGAAGGUGAACUGCUCUGGUGCGAUAGACCUGAUAGUCUGACUCCAAGUGUCUGACUUGCUGCAGGACAUUGAACAGCUAAAUGAACGGGAAAUAGGCCAGUUGCCUAUGUGUAUGAAGGGCAAUGGAUUAGUCCAAGUUGGAGAUUUACCAUGAAAUCUGAGCAACGUCACCUAUUCUUUGUGUCCUCUGCAAGAAGGAUGCAAACAGAGAAGCUUUUGUCUACAUUUGCAUCAUGAACACUUCUCUAAGCUGGUUGAGGUUGUGAGCCAAGAAGAUCAAAACAGCUUGAUCCAAUUUCCUUUACAAAGCUUUUCCUGUGGUGACAACAGGACAGGACAAGAGUUGUAAAUGCGGAUAAUUUACCAGUUGACUCUAACCCCCAUAGGAUGCCUAUAGUGAGAAGAUUCGGGGGGUUGAUAGGAGUCAUAAAGAAGGGUGUUGACCAGGCUACAGCUUUGAAGUUAGCUGAGAGCCACAUGGACAAACGAUAAAGUCAACUGAUGUGUUUGAAUGUCUAUGUCUGUAUACAGUUGGAUUGUAGUGACAUUUGAUUUUUGAGAAUGUUGAUUCUUCUUGUUUGACUGUUACAUUCAGUUGUUUACUUGCAGGAAUACAUAAUGAAUCGCACGACAGGAGUAGAUGCACCACAAGGCUGGAUAACUUGGUGAAUGUCUGGUCCUUGGUGGCAUCUUCUUUUGAAAAUAUUAAUUCCUGUUUUUGGACUGUUGACACUGAUUUGCUUACGUAUAGGAUGUAGUUUACUGUGUAUGAGAUCAAUGAGAAGCAGGUUAACUGCUUACAUGUAUUAACUGUGAACUUUUGCAUCGAUAGAAGGUGAAUGAAGAGGAGUUGUGUAUGAAUGAAAUCUACACUGUCACUGUCCAAACAAAGGGUGCAUAAGUUGAAAUUUAAGUAUAUACAAUGACAAAAAGGGGGAAAUGUUAGGUCUAAUUGUUGAAUGUUGCCAUUGUGUUUCUUAAAUUUGUACAGUCUUAGUUUAAGCAGUAUUAUCAAAGCCAUUCCUUUGAUCCUGACAGUGGAAGGUUAGGGCAUAAUGCUGUCUUUUGGAAAAAUGUCCAUUGCCAGAUCUCUGCUAAUUGGUGGUCAUUGAUGAGCAACAUAUCGAUGCAGCUGUCCUCCACUGUGCAGCACAGUGGUUAGCACUGUUGCCCCCCAGCAAGAAGGUCCUGAGUUCAAUUCCACCAUCUGGCCUCACAUUUCUGUGGUGUGCAGUCUUUCAGGCAAACUCUGCUCAGGUGUGUGCGAAUGGACUGUUGGGGCUUUAUGCAAAGUAGGCAAUACACAACGUUUCUCUCCAUCUUGUUUGCACUGUAAAUACAAAGAGUGAGAGAGAAAAACUCUGCAUAUCAAUUUAGUAUAUUUUCCGACAUGAAGCGGUUUUUGGUUGUGUCUGCUUAUGAUUUGAAACAGGUCUGAAAUUAGAGAAAUUCAACAAUCACUAUAUAUACAUAUAUACAUUGUGAUUGCGGUCCUCCAGCCUGAGGACCGUCCCACUCUGGAGGAGAUCCUGUUACAUCUCUGGAUGAAGUCAGGGGUAAUGUGAUGUGUAAUUUCACUGUCAGUCCAGUGAUGCUCCAAUUCAAAGUUGACAUUCCUUUGGCAAUGACUCCAUCUAGUGGUGAAAUUGCUGAACUGCAUGCUCAGUCACACAUGGAAGAAAGCAUGUGCCUAAUUUUUGGACCAUUACUGAGCUUCCACUUGAGAAUACCUUUUUGACAUUUGGGACUUUUUGUAGUCAUAUUCUCAGCCUGCACAGAUGACAAGGAACAGAGAGAUAAACAUGUCUCUCAGUGAGUCAUAAAUUUUUCAUAUAUUUUAUAUUGUACAAAUAGUUCAUAAACAGUUACAUUUUUUCCUCAAUUUGAUUCAAAAGACAAAAUGAAACGAAAAGAAUAAAUUCAAAUAAAAAUAAAAAUGUAUAAAGCCAUUGA